rnacentral:rRNA from 1 species
GACGAACGCUGGCGGCGCGCCUAACACAUGCAAGUCGAGCGAAGCGGCGAACGGGUGAGUAACGCGUGAGGAACCUGCCUCUUACAACGGGAUAGCCUCGGGAAACCGGGAUUAAUACCGUAUAGUAAGAGAUGGCCUCGCGUCUGAUUAGUUAGUUGGUGGGGUAACGGCCUACCAAGACGACGAUCAGUAACCGGCCUGAGAGGGUGAACGGUCACAUUGGGACUGGGACACGGUGCAGACUCCUACGGGAGGCCGCAGUGGGGAAUCUUGCACAAUGGGGGAGACCCGGAUGCAGCGACGCCGCGUGAGCGAUGAAGGUUUUCGGAUCGUGAAGCUCUGUCCUAUGGGAAGCGGUACCAUAGGAGGAAGCCCCGGCUAACUACGUGCCAGCAGCCGCGGUAAUAC